UGAACAUACAUACAGUGUGAUAUAAAUGCGACUGGAUCAGGGGCUAUAAAGAAAAUGAAGUCAUCACUGGGCGGGAAACAUAUGAUGGAAUGGCGACAAGGGAAAUGCCCUCCAGGAGGUUGGCCUUGCUAUGAAGCAACUCUACUGGAUGUUGAUGCUGCAAAUUUUGAAAA